GGGCGAGUAAUUCAAUGGUAGAAUGCUUCGUUCGCAACGAAGAUGCCGGGAGUUCAAUUCUCCCUUCGUCCA
rnacentral:tRNA from 1 species